AUACGUAGGGGGCGAGCGUUGUCCGGAAUGACUGGGCGUAAAGGGCGUGUAGGCGGCGGUGUAAGUCUGGAGUGAAAGUCCCGCAUUCAAUGUGGGAAUUGCUUUGGAUACUGCAGUGCUAGAGUGCGGAAGAGGUAAGUGGAAUUCCCAGUGUAGCGGUGAAAUGCGUAGAGAUUGGGAGGAAUACCAGUGGCGAAGGCGACUUACUGGACUGUAACUGACGCUGAGGCGCGAAAGUGUGGGGAGCAAACAGGAUUAGAUACCCUGGUAGUCCACGCAGUAAACGAUGAUGGCUAACCGCUGGGCUUAUCAGUUCAGUGGCCAAGCGAAAGCGAUAAGCCAUCCACCUGGGGAGUACGACCGCAAGGUUGAAACUCAAAUGAAUUGACGGGG
rnacentral:rRNA from 1 species